rnacentral:rRNA from 1 species
GACGAACGCUGGCGGCGUGCUUUAUACAUGCAAGUCGAACGAUGAAGUUCCUUCGGGAAUGGAUUAGUGGCGAACGGGUGAGGAACACGUGAGAAACCUGCCUUUCAUUCUGGGAUAACACCGGGAAACCGGUGCUAAUACCGGAUACUCCGUCUUGGCGGCAUCGCCGAGCCGGGAAAAAAUUUUGAUGAAAGAUGGUCUCGCGGCCUAUCAGCUAGUUGGUGAGGUAAAGGCUCACCAAGGCGACGACGGGUAGCCGGCCUGAGAGGGCGACCGGCCACACUGGGACUGAGACACGGCCCAGACUCCUACGGGAGGCAGCAGUAGGGAAUAUUGGGCAAUGGGCGCAAGCCUGACCCAGCGACGCCGCGUGAGGGAUGAAGGUCUUCGGAUUGUAAACCUCUUUCAGUAGGGAAGAAGCGAAAGUGACGGUACCUAAAGAAGAAGCACCGGCUAACUAUGUGCCAGCAGCCGCCGUAA